rnacentral:rRNA from 1 species
CUACGGGCGGCUCCAGUGAGGAAUAUUGCACAAUGGGGGGAACCCUGAUGCAGCAACGCCGCGUGGAGGAUGACGCAUUUCGGUGUGUAAACUCCUUUUAUAUAUCAAGAAAAUGACGGUAGCAUAUGAAUAAGCACCGGCUAACUCCGUGCCAGCAGCCGCGGUAAUACGGAGGGUGCAAGCGUUACUCGGAAUCACUGGGCGUAAAGGACGCGUAGGCGGGUUGGAAAGUCAGGUGUGAAAUCCUACAGCUUAACUGUAGAACUGAACUUGAAACUUCUAAUCUAGAGGAUGGGAGGGGGAGAUGGAAUUAGUGGUGUAGGGGUAAAAUCCGUAGAUAUCACUAGGAAUACCUAAAGCGAAGGCGAUCUCCUGGAACAUUACUGACGCUAAGGCGUGAAAGCGUGGGGAGCAAACAGGAUUAGAUACCCCAGUAGUC